GACGAACGCUGGCGGCGUGCUUAACACAUGCAAGUCGAACGGAGUGGCGAACGGGUGAGUAACACGUGGGUGAUCUGCCUUGCACUUCGGGAUAAGCUUGGGGAACUGGGUCUAAAACCUGAUUGUGCAAGAUUGGCUCGCGGCCUAUCAGCUUGUUGGUGGGGUAAUGGCCCACCAAGGCGUCGACGGGUAGACGGCCUGUGAGGGUGUACGGCCACAUUGGGACUGAGGUACGGCCCAGACUCGUACGGGAGGCAGCAGUGGGGAAUAUUGCACAAUGGGCGGAAGCCUGAUGCAGCGACGCCGCGUGGGGGAUGAAGGCCUUCGGGUUGUAAACUCCUUUCGACAGGGACGCGGUACCUGUAUAAGAAGCACCGGCUAACUACGUGCCAGCAGCCGCGGUAAUAC
rnacentral:rRNA from 1 species